GGUCCCAUUUGUUUGUUUUUAUUUCCAUUACUCUAGGAGACAGAUUGAAAAAGAUAUUGUUGUGAUUUGGGUCAAAGAGUAUUCUGCUUAUAUUUUACUCUAGGAGUUUUAUAUAAUCUGCUCAUGCAUUUAGGUCUUUAAUCCAUAUUGAGUUUAUUUUUGUAUGGUGUUAGAGGAUGUUCUAAUUUCAUUCUUUAACAUGGAGCUAUCCAGUUUUCUCAGCACCACUUACUGAAGAGACUUUAUUUCUACAGCAUAUGCUAGCCCUCUGGCGUUUAUGUUUAUUGAAGGAAGAUACUGGAUUGUUAAGAAUGACUAACAUAGAUAAUUAUUCUGCAUAACACAUUGAAAGGAAACUCAUGCAAGAAAAAAAAUGAGGAAAGUUGUGCAAGAAGAAAUAUGGCAGAUUUAUGCAAGUCAUCAAUCUAGAAAAGAUUUACUUAACAUCUACUGUGUAUCAGACACCAUUUUGAUAUUAGUUAUGACUACAUUCAGUUUUAAAUAGUGAUGAAUAACAUAGAGAGUUUACAUGAUGAAGAACAAAAGGUGAAAAUUGCUUUGAGCCAUAAAUUUGGGAUUAUAAACUGUGUUUGAUCACAACCAGCACCUCUGCUUGUCUGAACACAAAUCCAGAUCCUAGUUACCAUAAACCUCUACAGAUAUAGACUUUCUGUGCUAUCCCUACAAAUCAUCAAAAUGUGAAUAUUAUAUAUAGCUGUGAGAGGCUACUAAAUAAAGUUGGAAGACUCGCAAGUAAGGAUGUUUUAAUUCCUGACGACAUGACUCAAUUUUGACAUCUGUGAGCAUUGUAAAGAGACUGGUGGGUUUUUGGUGAAUAAAUAAGGCAGCCAGUUUACAUCUCAUCUCAAGAGUAGUGUAUUUGUUAUAAUCAUUAAACAGGCAUAGACUGCCCCAAGUCCAUAGUCUACAUUAGAGUUUACUCUUUGUGCUGUACAUUCUACGAAUUUGCCUAAGGGUAUAAUAAAACAUGCUUCCAAUCAUUGUGGUAUCAUGCAAAGUAUUUUCACAGCCAUAAAAAUCCUCUGUGUUUCAUCUAUUCUUCCAUCUGUCCCAAGAUCUCUUAGCAGCCAUGAGCUUUUCUCUGACUCCAUAAAUUUUAUUUUUCCAGAAUAUUACAUAGUUGCACUCAUAUGUAUUUUCAGAUUGGCGUCUUUCAUUUGACAUAGAAGUAAGUUUUCAAAUUAUUUGAACAUCAUCAAGGAGCUCAGUUACUAGAUUGUAUACUAAAGGUAUGUUUAGGUUUGUAAGAAACUGCCAAACAUUCUUCAGAAGUGGCUGUCCCAUUUUCCACUCCCACCAGCAAUGAAUGAGAGUUCCUGUUGCUCCAUUGUUGAUGAUGUUUUAUGUUUCAGCUUAUAAACAGCCAUUGUUGAAGACUUUCAGAUGCGAACCAAUGUUAAUAAUAGGAAUAAAUAGGUUUCUGUGUAGCAAAAUAAUCCACACUACUUAAAGAAAAAUACGGAGCCCCGGGCUCAGACGCGGAGGGGCGAGCGCGGGCCGGGCGCUCCGGGAAGCCAGGUGGGGCGAGCCCGAGGCGGGCCGGGCGGCGAUGCCGCUGGAGGCGCAGGACGCGGUGUACGUGGCGCUGGAGCUGGCUCUGGCCGCGCUGUCGGUGACCGGCAACGUGUUGGUGUGCGCGGCGUAGUCUUACUUGGGAGAGAGAGCUCUGUUCCACUGUGUCACUGAGGGAUUGAGGCUAGCUCCUGUCAUACAGUGGCCAUCUUC
ensembl:lncRNA